rnacentral:rRNA from 1 species
UACGUAGGGUGCGAGCGUUGUCCGGAAUUAUUGGGCGUAAAGAGCUCGUAGGCGGCUUGUCGCGUCAGACGUGAAAUUCCUGGGCUCAACCUGGGGGCUGCGUUUGAUACGUGCGGGCUUGAGUGCGGAAGAGGGUCGUGGAAUUCCCAGUGUAGAGGUGAAAUUCGUAGAUAUUGGGAAGAACACCGGUGGCGAAGGCGGCGCUCUGGACCGAGACUGACGCUGAGGCGCGAAGGCGUGGGGAGCAAACAGG